AUUUUACAUGAUGAAUUCUUAAUAAUUCUUGAUAGGAAGAGUAUGACAACAUAAUGAGUACUACAAAUAUCUGAUAAAUC